rfam:Setaria italica strain Yugu1 chromosome VI, whole genome shotgun sequence.
AUGAGCCACAUGCAGGGAAACUUGCACGUGUGGUUCUAUCUAGGGACCCCGGUAUACUGUAC